UACGGAGGGAGCUAGCGUUGUUCGGAAUUACUGGGCGUAAAGCGCGCGUAGGCGGCUUUGUAAGUUAGAGGUGAAAGCCCGGGGCUCAACCCCGGAAUUGCCUUUAAGACUGCAUCGCUUGAAUCCGGGAGAGGUGAGUGGAAUUCCGAGUGUAGAGGUGAAAUUCGUAGAUAUUCGGAAGAACACCAGUGGCGAAAGCGGCUCUCUGGUCUGUAACUGACGCUGAGGCGCGAAAGCGUGGGGAGCAAACAGG
rnacentral:rRNA from 1 species